rnacentral:rRNA from 1 species
CACGUAGGGGGCGAGCGUUGUCCGGAAUCAUUGGGCGUAAAGAGCUCGUAGGCGGCUCGGUAAGUCGGGUGUGAAACCCCCAGGCUCAACCUGGGGACGCCACCCGAUACUGCUGUGGCUAGAGUCCAGUAGGGGAGUGUGGAAUUCCCCGGUGUAGCGGUGAAAUGCGCAGAUAUCGGGAGGAACACCAGCGGCGAAGGCGGCACUCUGGGCUGGAACUGACGCUGAGGAGCGAAAGCGUGGGUAGCAAACAGG